CCUACGGGCUGCAGCAGUGGGGAAUAUUGGACAAUGGGCGAAAGCCUGAUCCAGCCAUGCCGCGUGUGUGAAGAAGGCCUUCGGGUUGUAAAGCACUUUCAGUGGGGAAGAAAGCCUUGGGGCUAAUACCCUCGAGGAAGGACAUCACCCACAGAAGAAGCACCGGCUAACUCCGUGCCAGCAGCCGCGGUAAUACGGAGGGUGCGAGCGUUAAUCGGAAUUACUGGGCGUAAAGCGCGCGUAGGCGGUCUGAUAAGCCGGUUGUGAAAGCCCCGGGCUCAACCUGGGAACGGCAUCCGGAACUGUCAGACUAGAGUGCAGGAGAGGAAGGUAGAAUUCCCGGUGUAGCGGUGAAAUGCGUAGAGAUCGGGAGGAAUACCAGUGGCGAAGGCGGCCUUCUGGACUGACACUGACGCUGAGGUGCGAAAGCGUGGGUAGCAAACAGGAUUAGAUACCCGGGUAGUC
rnacentral:rRNA from 1 species